rnacentral:rRNA from 1 species
CCUACGGGGGGCAGCAGUGAGGAAUAUUGGUCAAUGGACGAGAGUCUGAACCAGCCAAGUAGCGUGAAGGAUGACUGCCCUAUGGGUUGUAAACUUCUUUUAUAUGGGAAUAAAACGUUCCACGUGUGGGAUUUUGUAUGUACCAUAUGAAUAAGGAUCGGCUAACUCCGUGCCAGCAGCCGCGGUAAUACGGAGGAUCCGAGCGUUAUCCGGAUUUAUUGGGUUUAAAGGGAGCGUAGGUGGAUUGUUAAGUCAGUUGUGAAAGUUUGCGGCUCAACCGUAAAAUUGCAGUUGAAACUGGCAGUCUUGAGUACAGUAGAGGUGGGCGGAAUUCGUGGUGUAGCGGUGAAAUGCUUAGAUAUCACGAAGAACUCCGAUUGCGAAGGCAGUUCACUGGACUGCAACUGACACUGAGGCUCGAAAGUGUGGGUAUCAAACAGGAUUAGUUACCCUUGUAGUC